rnacentral:rRNA from 1 species
GAGUGCCGUCCGCUGAGGAUGGCUUUUCCUCGGUGUAACUAGCCGGGGGAAUAAGGAGAGGGCAAGACUGGUGUCAGCCGCCGCGGUAAUACCAGCUCUCCGAGUGGUAGGGAUGAUUAUUGGGCUUAAAGCGUCCGUAGCCGGCUUAGCAAGUCUCCUGUUAAAUUCAGCGACCUAAUCGUUGAGCCGCGGGAGAUACUACUAGGCUAGGAGGCGGGAGAGGCCGACGGUACUUCCGGGGUAGGGGUGAAAUCCUAUAAUCCCGGGCGGACCACCAGUGGCGAAGGCUGUCGGCUAGAACGCGCUCGACGGUGAGGGACGAAAGCUGGGGGAGCGAACCGGAUUAAAUACCCGGGUAGUCCCAGCCGUAAACGAUGCGGGCUAGGUGUUGGGGUGGCUACGUGCCACUUCAGUGCCGCAGGGAAGCCAUUAAGCCCGCCGCCUGGGGAGUACGGCCGCAAGGCUGAAACUUAAAGGAAUU